rnacentral:rRNA from 1 species
GUAGGUGGCAAGCGUUAUCCGGAAUUAUUGGGCGUAAAGAGGGAGCAGGCGGCAGCAAGGGUCUGUGGUGAAAGCCUGAAGCUUAACUUCAGUAAGCCAUAGAAACCAGGCAGCUAGAGUGCAGGAGAGGAUCGUGGAAUUCCAUGUGUAGCGGUGAAAUGCGUAGAUAUAUGGAGGAACACCAGUGGCGAAGGCGACGAUCUGGCCUGCAACUGACGCUCAGUCCCGAAAGCGUGGGGAGCAAAUAGGAUUAGAUACCCUAGUAGUCCACGCCGUAAACGAUGAGUACUAAGUGUUGGAUGUCAAAGUUCAGUGCUGCAGUUAACGCAAUAAGUACUCCGCCUGAGUUGKACGUUCCCRASAAUG